rnacentral:rRNA from 1 species
UACAAUGGAGAGUUUGAUCCUGGCUCAGGAUGAACGCUAGCGGCAGGCUUAACACAUGCAAGUCGAACGGUAACAGAAAAAGCUUGCUUUUUGCUGACGAGUGGCGAACGGGUGCGUAACGCGUAUGCAACCUACCCAUAACAGGGGGAUAGCCCAUAGAAAUGUGGAUUAAUACCCCAUAAUAUCAUAGAUUGGCAUCAUGAAAUGAUUAAAACUCCGGUGGUUAUGGAUGGGCAUGCGUGACAUUAGCUAGUUGGUGAGGUAACUGCUCACCAAGGCGACGAUGUCUAGGGGUUCUGAGAGGAUGAUCCCCCACACUGGUACUGAGACACGGACCAGACUCCUACGGGAGGCAGCAGUAGGGAAUAUUGGUCAAUGGGCGAGAGCCUGAACCAGCCAUGCCGCGUGCAGGAAGACGGCGUUCUGCGUUGUAAACUGCUUUUAUCUGGGAAGAAA